rnacentral:vault_RNA from 1 species
GGGCUGGCCGUAGGUCAGUGGUUUCUUCAACUACAGAGUGAUCAAAUUACCCAAUUACCCUCUCUGAGGCUGGUUUGAGACAUGAGGGCACUCUCCAGUCCUUCA